AAAUUCUGGUAAUCGCUGCGGCGCUAGACGUCGUAGAGGAAAGUCCAUGCUCACACGGUACUGAGAUGUCCGUAGUGUUCGUGCUUACUGAAAAAAUAAGGUAAGGCAGCUGAAAAGGCUGACGGCGGAAGGAAAACCUAAGUCCUUGGAUAUGGUUGACACUUCCUGAAAGUGCCACAGUGACGAAGCUUGCUUGGAAACAUGCAAGGUGGAACGAGGUAAACCCCACGAGUGAGAAACCCAAAUUAUGGUAGGGGCACUCUCUUGAAGGAAUUGAACGGAUAGAGGGACGGAGCUUGCUCUGUAGAUAGAUGAUUACUAACUGGUCGUACGAGGCGCAAGCUGUUUGAGUACUCAGGAACAAAACAUGGCUUAUGGAA
rnacentral:RNase_P_RNA from 1 species